UUCUAUGGCCAUGCUACCUUGAAUGUGCCCGAUCUUGUUUGAUCUUGGAAGCUAAGCAGAGUUGGGCCUGGUUGGUACUUGGAUGGGAGACCACCUAGGAACACAAGGUGCUGUAGGCA
rnacentral:rRNA from 1 species